GACGAACGCUGGCGGCGUGCUUAACACAUGCAAGUCGAACGGAAAGGCCCUGCUUGCAGGGUACUCGAGUGGCGAACGGGUGAGUAACACGUGGGUGAUCUGCCCUGCACUUCGGGAUAAGCUUGUGAAACUGGGUCUAAUACCGGAUAGGAACCAUCUUUAGUGUGGUGGUUGGAAAGUUUUUUCGGUGUAGGAUGAGCUCGCGGCCUAUCAGCUUGUUGGUGGGGUAAUGGCCUACCAAGGCGGCGACGGGUAGCCGGCCUGAGAGGGUGUACGGCCACAUUGGGACUGAGAUACGGCCCAGACUGCUACGGGAGGCAGCAGGGGGGAAUACUGCCCAAUGGGCGCAAGGCGGAUGCAGCGGCGCCGCGUGGGGGAUGAAGGCCUUCGGGUUGUAAACUCCUUUCGCUAGGGACGAAGCUUUUUGUGACGGUACCUAGAUAAGAAGCACCGGCUAACUACGUG
rnacentral:rRNA from 1 species